AUUGAACGCUGGCGGCGUGCCUUACACAUGCAAGUCGAACGUGAAAGUUCCUUCGGGAAUGAGUAAAGUGGCGCACGGGUGAGUAACGCGUGGAUAAUCUACCGAGAAGUUGGGAAUAACGUUUGGAAACGAACGCUAAUACCGAAUACGCAACUUGUAUAUAUUUAUAUGUUGGAAAGGAGACCUCUUUACAAUGUUUCUGCUUUUUGAUGAGUCCGCGUACCAUUAGCUAGAUGGUGGGGUAAAAGCCUACCAUGGCGACGAUGGUUAACUGGUCUGAGAGGAUGAUCAGUCACACUGGAACUGGAACACGGUCCAGACUCCUACGGGAGGCAGCAGUGGGGAAUAUUGCGCAAUGGGCGAAAGCCUGACGCAGCGACGCCGCGUGAGGGAUGAAGGUUUUCGGAUCGUAAACCUCUGUCAAUGGGGAAGAAGUUGUACGGUGCUAAUCAGCCGUAUAUUGACGGUACCCAUAAAGGAAGGACCGGCUAACUCCGUGCCAGCAGCCGCGGUAAUACGGAGGGUCCGAGCGUUAAUCGGAAUUACUGGGCGUAAAGCGCUCGUAGGCGGUAUGGCAAGUCAAGGGUGAAAUCCCCGCGCUCAACGUGGGAACUGCCUUUGAAACUGCUGCACUUGAGUGUGUGAGAGGAUAGUGGAAUUUCUAGUGUAGGAGUGAAAUCCGUAGAUAUUAGAAGGAACAUCAGUGGCGAAGGCGACUAUCUGGCACAUAACUGACGCUGAAGAGCGAAAGCGUGGGUAGCAAACAGGAUUAGAUACCCUGGUAGUCCACGCUGUAAACGAUGGAUACUAGGUGCAGGGGCUUAUGUUUUCUGUGCCGUAGCUAACGCAUUAAGUAUCCCCCCCUGGGGAAGUACGGUCGCAAGGCUGAAACUCAAA
rnacentral:rRNA from 1 species